rnacentral:pre_miRNA from 13 species
GAUUUUAUUGCUCAACAUUUUGAGGGGUGAAACUGUACGUUGUAUGUGCCCUAUUAUAAAAACCAUAAGCGUAUAGCUUUUCCCCUUAAAAGUUGAUGCAACACCAA